rnacentral:rRNA from 1 species
AUUGAACGCUAGCGGGAUGCCUUACACAUGCAAGUCGAACGGAGUGGCGAACGGGUGAGUAAUGUAUCGGAACGUGCCCAGUAGUGGGGGAUAACUACGCGAAAGCGUAGCCUAUACCGCAUACUAUUGGAGCGGCCGAUGUGGGAUUAGCUAGUUGGUGGGGCAACGGCUCACCAAGGCGACGAUCCGUAGCUGGUCUGAGAGGACGACCGGCCACAAUGGGACUGAUACACGGCCCAGACUCCUACGGGAGGCAGCAGUAGGGAAUUUUGGGCAAUGGGGGAAAGCCUGAUCGAGCCAUGCCGCGUGAGCGAUGAAGGUCUUCGGGUUGUAAAGCACUUUUGGCAGGGAAGCGGUACCUACAGAGUAAGCACCGGCUAACUACGUGCCAGCAGCCGCGGUAAUAC